rnacentral:lncRNA from 1 species
UUUUGUCCCACUUUUGCUCCAGGAGGGCAGAUGUUUCAUUAACAGCACCUUCAACAACUUUUAUUGCUGAAUUGUCCAGAUAUUUUCCUAAAAGUUUUGCCAACAAUGAUGACAUGGCAGGAGCAAGUUCAGAGGGCUUCAAAACAACAGCAUUCCCAGCUGCAAUUGCUCCAAUCACUGGAUCAACGGAUAACACUGGUGCCCGGGGGGGGGGUGGUAAAUCGAUUAGCAAACCAUGAAUGAUAGACAUAUUAACUAAGAAAUACACAACCAAACAAUUACAGUUUCAAUUCUUAUUUUUUCUUGUCAAAACUCAGCCUAAUUGCUAAUAAUGUUAUACCAAGUACAUUUAGUGAUUACACAUUCCUCGUAUGUGUGAUUUUCAAGAUAACAAAGUAAAUGAGAGAUAUGGAAGAAAAUCAGGUUAUUAACAUACGUAAUGGAUAGUUCCAUGCUGAUAUGACCAAUACAACGCCAAGGGGUUCGGGGACUAUUUCUGCUGAGGAAGGAAAGCCUGAUAUAGAUAAAACCAGAUUGCACAACAGGCUGAACUAAGACUAACUAUCAUCACAAAAUUAGGCAGCCUCCAUAUCUUAAAUGAGAUCCUGCCUAUUUGUUCAACAAAUGACCACAAGCAGCCUUGAAAACAACGAGAAAUUUCUUUUAUUUAUAUAAAAUUUUGAACAUAAGUGCUGUAUCAUAUUGUCAACAAAUUUAUCAAAAUUUCUAAAAUUAGCUGUUAUUUUAAAACAAGAAAUCACUUCUGUUUUAUAUUGAAUAUGAACAUAAAUGCCAUAUCUUAUUCUCAACAAACUUACCAAAUUUGCUAUAAUUAGCUGUUUCAUGUCAAUUCAAAAUUACUCAAUCACAAACAACCUGCAAAUUUUUGCGACACACCAUGGAUGACGAAACCAAACACCAUCACAAAAGGUUCUCAACUUGAGAAAACACACAAAUAUUAUCAGCAUACAAAACUUAAAUAAAAAAGAAAAGCAUUUAAUGCAUUCACCAACUAAAAAAACUUCAGAGCAAUUAAUUCCUAAAGGCAAAAGAAUCAGAACAUUCUGAUAGUCUGAUACCAUCAGUAUUGUCCGUACAGCAUAUCCUCUCACAAACUUGCUAGUAACACCAUAUGUGUCCAAUCACACAAAAUCAAUUUCACAAAAUCAGAAACUAUUAGGUCAAUUUAGAUCUAGAAACUGCACGAGGUGUGUGUACGGACACGCACAAAUCAUGAACAAAUCUAUUACACAAACAGAUAAUCAAACAAGCUCAUAACAACAAUUUCAUCAAAAACUAAUGAUUACACAAAAAACGAAUAAUCGAAUCAAGUAUAAUGAAAAUUGAAGCCAAAAAUCAAGUUAAUAAACCUCAUGUAUGUACGCUUCCAUCUCUGGUUUCG